ACGCUGGCGGCGUGCCUAAUACAUGCAAGUCGAACGCACAGCGAAAGGUGCUUGCACCUUUCAAGUGAGUGGCGAACGGGUGAGUAACACGUGGACAACCUGCCUCAAGGCUGGGGAUAACAUUUGGAAACAGAUGCUAAUACCGAAUAAAACUUAGUGUCGCAUGACACAAAGUUAAAAGGCGCUUCGGCGUCACCUAGAGAUGGAUCCGCGGUGCAUUAGUUAGUUGGUGGGGUAAAGGCUUACCAAGACAAUGAUGCAUAGCCGAGUUGAGAGACUGAUCGGCCACAUUGGGACUGAGACACGGCCCAAACUCCUACGGGAGGCUGCAGUAGGGAAUCUUCCACAAUGGGCGAAAGCCUGAUGGAGCAACGCCGCGUGUGUGAUGAAGGCUUUCGGGUCGUAAAGCACUGUUGUAUGGGAAGAACAGCUAGAAUAGGAAAUGAUUUUAGUUUGACGGUACCGUACCAGAAAGGGACGGCUAAAUACGUGCCAGCAGCCGCGGUAAUACGUAUGUCCCGAGCGUUAUCCGGAUUUAUUGGGCGUAAAGCGAGCGCAGACGGUUUAUUAAGUCUGAUGUGAAAGCCCGGAGCUCAACUCCGGAAUGGCAUUGGAAACUGGUUAACUUGAGUGCAGUAGAGGUAAGUGGAACUCCAUGUGUAGCGGUGGAAUGCGUAGAUAUAUGGAAGAACACCAGUGGCGAAGGCGGCUUACUGGACUGCAACUGACGUUGAGGCUCGAAAGUGUGGGUAGCAAAC
rnacentral:rRNA from 1 species